rnacentral:rRNA from 1 species
UUCUGUGAACGGCUCAUUAAAUCUCCAGUAAUCUAUUUGAUAAUACUUUCCUACUAGGACAACUGAGGAAAAUCUUGAGCUAAUACUUGCUAAAAUCCCCGACUUUUCGGAAGGGGUGUAUUUAUUAGAUACAAAAACCAAUGAGGGGGGUUAACGCCCUCCGGUCUCUGGAUGAUUCAUAAUAACUUCUCGAAUCGCAUGGCCUUGCGCUGGCGAUGAUUCAUUCGAACUUGAGCCCUAUCAACUUUCGACGGGUGUGUAGUGGACAUCCGUGGUUUUUACGGGUACGGGGAAUUGGGGUUCGAUUCCGGAGAGUGAGCCUGAGAAACGGCCCACACUUCCAAGGAAGGCAGCAGGCGCGCAAAUUGCCCUAAUCCCAAUUCGGGGAGGCAGUGACAAUAAAUAACUAAGAAUUUCCCUACGGGAAAUUCUAUAGGAAUGAGUUAAAUGUAAAUACCUAAACGAGGAGCAACUGGUGGGCAAGUCUGGUGCCAGCAGCCGCGGUAAUUCCAGCACCAGUAGCGUAUACCUAUCUUGUUGCAGUUAAAAAGCUCGUAGCUGAAACUUGGGACUGAGCGGCAGGGUCUGCCGGGACGGUGUGUACCAGUCGCUCUUUCCUUCCUUCCGGUUUUUGCUUGCGUGCGGGACUUCACUGUUCCGCCGUGUAGCUCCGGAUCUUUCACUGUGAAUAAAGUAACGCGCUCUAAGCAGGCCUAAUUAUGCCUUGAAUAUUUCAGCAUGGGAUGAUACAACAGGUCUUUGCGUCUAUUUGUUGGUUUCUAGAAGGCGAAGAAAUGAUUAAUGGGAACAGUUAGGGGAAUAAUAUUUUGCCGUCAGAGGUGAAAUUCUUGGAUUCGUGAAAGAUUAACUUUCUGCGAAAGCAUUUUCCAGAGAUGUUUCCGUCAGUCAAGAACUAAAGUUGGGGGAUCGAAGAUGAUCAGAUACCGUCGUAGUCUCAACCAUAAACUAUGCCGACCAGGGAUUCGGGGCACGUUAAUUGGACGACUCUCCGAGCACCUUGCGAGAAAUCAUUGAGUCUUUGGGUUCUGGGGGGAGUAUGGUCGCAAGGCUGAAACUUAAAGAAAUUGACGGAAGGGCACACCAAGAGUGGAGCCUGCGGCUUAAUUUGACUCAACGCGGGGAAUUUUACCAAGUCCGGACAGAAAAAGGAUUGACAGAUUAAAGCUCUUUCUUGAUUUUUUGGGUGGUGGUGCAUGGCCGUUUGUAGUUGGUGGAGUGAUUUGUCUGCUUAAUUGCGUUAACGAACGAGACCUCAGCCUACUAAAUAGUUAUGCGAACCUUCUGUUUGGUGAAGGCAAGGGGACAGUCUCUUCUUUCGGGAGGAGGCAUCCCUGUGCUGAAUCCUUGAUGCGUUCGUAGCGAUACUUCUUAGAGGGACAAUUGGUGUCAAGCCAAUGGAAGUUUGAGGCAACAACAGGUCUGUGAUGCCCUUAGAUGUCUUGGGCGGCACGCGCGCUACAAUGAUCGGUUCAACGAGUAUUUCACCUUGUGCGGAAGCACUGGGUAAUCUUUUCAAAGCCGUUCGUGUUGGGGAUAGAUCUCUGCAAUUUUGGAUCUUCAACGAGGAAUUCUUAGUAAGUGCAAUUCAUCAUAUUGCGUUGACUUCGUCCCUGCCCCUUGUACACACCGCCCA